AGCGAACGCUGGCGGCAGGCCUAACACAUGCAAGUCGAGCGGCAGCGGGACCUUCGGGUUGCCGGCGAGCGGCGGACGGGUGAGUAAUGCCUAGGAAUCUGCCUGUUAGUGGGGGAUAACGCGGGGAAACUCGCGCUAAUACCGCAUACGUCCUACGGGAGAAAGCGGGGGCUCUUCGGACCUCGCGCUAACAGAUGAGCCUAGGUCGGAUUUGCUAGUUGGUGGGAUAAUGGCCCACCAAGGCGACGAUCCGUAACUGGUCUGAGAGGAUGAUCAGUCACACUGGAACUGAGACACGGUCCAGACUCCUACGGGAGGCAGCAGUGGGGAAUAUUGGACAAUGGGCGAAAGCCUGAUCCAGCCAUGCCGCGUGUGUGAAGAAGGUCUUCGGAUUGUAAAGCACUUUAAGUCGGGAGGAAGGACUGUAGGCUAAUACCUUGCAGUUUUGACGUUACCGACAGAAUAAGCACCGGCUAACUUCGUGCCAGCCGCCGCGGUAAAAC
rnacentral:rRNA from 1 species